ACACUCCUGCGGGAGGCAGCAGUGGGGAAUUUUGGACAAUGGGCGAAAGCCUGAUCCAGCAAUGCCGCGUGAGUGAAGAAGGCCUUCGGGUUGUAAAGCUCUUUUGUCAGGGAAGAAACGGUGAAAGCUAAUAUCUUUUGCUAAUGACGGUACCUGAAGAAUAAGCACCGGCUAACUACGUGCCAGCAGCCGCGGUAAUACGUAGGGUGCAAGCGUUAAUCGGAAUUACUGGGCGUAAAGCGUGCGCAGGCGGUUUUGUAAGUCUGAUGUGAAAUCCCCGGGCUCAACCUGGGAAUUGCAUUGGAGACUGCAAGGCUAGAAUCUGGAAGAGGGGGGUAGAAUUCCACGUGUAGCAGUGAAAUGCGUAGAUAUGUGGAGGAACACCGAUGGCGAAGGCAGCCCCCUGGGUCAAGAUUGACGCUCAUGCACGAAAGCGUGGGGAGCAAACAGGAUUAGAAACCCGUGUAGUCCC
rnacentral:rRNA from 1 species